GAUGAACGCUGGCGGCGUGCCUAAUACAUGCAAGUCGAGCGAACGGACGAGAAGCUUGCUUCUCUGAUGUUAGCGGCGGACGGGUGAGUAACACGUGGAUAACCUACCUAUAAGACUGGGAUAACUUCGGGAAACCGGAGCUAAUACAGGAUAAUAUUUUGAACCGCAUGGUUCAAAGGUGAAAGACGGUCUUGCUGUCACUUAUAGAUGGAUCCGCGCUGCAUUAGCUAGUUGGUAAGGUAACGGCUUACCAAGGCGACGAUGCAUAGCCGACCUGGGAGGGUGAUCGGCCACACUGGAACUGAGACACGGUCCAGACUCCUACGGGAGGCAGCAGUAGGGAAUCUUCCGCAAUGGUCGAAAGCCUGACGGAGCAACGCCGCGUGAGUGAUGAAGGUCUUCGGAUCGUAAAACUCUGUUAUUAGGGAAGAACAUAUGUGUAAGUAACUGUGCACAUCUUGACGGUACCUAAUCAGAAAGCCACGGCUAACUACGUG
rnacentral:rRNA from 1 species